rnacentral:rRNA from 1 species
AUUGCCCAAUUGGGGCGCAAAGCCUGAUGCUGCGACGCCGCCGUGAGGGGAUGACCGGCCUUCGGGGUUGUAAAACCUCUUUCAGUAGGGGAAGAAGCGAAAAGUGACGGUACCUGCAGAAAGAAGCACCGGCUAACUACGUGCCAGCAGCCGCGGUAAUACGUAGGGUGCGAGCGUUAUCCGGAAUUAUUGGGCGUAAAGAGCUCGUAGGCGGUUUGUCGCGUCUGUCGUGAAAGUCCGGGGCUUAACCCCGGAUCUGCGGUGGGUACGGGCAGACUAGAGUGCAGUAGGGGAGACUGGAAUUCCUGGUGUAGCGGUGGAAUGCGCAGAUAUCAGGAGGAACACCGAUGGCGAAGGCAGGUCUCUGGGCUGUAACUGACGCUGAGGAGCGAAAGCAUGGGGAGCGAACAGGAUUAGAUACCCUGGUAGUCCAUGCCGUAAACGUUGGGCACUAGGUGUGGGGACCAUUCCACGGUUUCCGCGCCGCAGCUAACGCAUUAAGUGCCCCGCCUGGGGAGUACGGCCGCAAGGCUAAAACUCAAAGGAAUUGACGGGGGCCCGCACAAGCGGCGGAGCAUGCGGAUUAAUUCGAUGCAACGCGAAGAACCUUACCAAGGCUUGACAUGUUCUCGAUCGCCGUAGAGAUACGGUUUCCCCUUUGGGGCGGGUUCACAGGUGGUGCAUGGUUGUCGUCAGCUCGUGUCGUGAGAUGUUGGGUUAAGUCCCGCAACGAGCGCAACCCUCGUUCCAUGUUGCCAGCACGUAGUGGUGGGGACUCAUGGGAGACUGCCGGGGUCAACUCGGAGGAAGGUGAGGACGACGUCAAAUCAUCAUGCCCCUUAUGUCUUGGGCUUCACGCAUGCUACAAUGGCCGGUACAAUGGGUUGCGAUACUGUGAGGUGGAGCUAAUCCCAAAAAGCCGGUCUCAGUUCGGAUUGGGGUCUGCAACUCGACCCCAUGAAGUCGGAGUCGCUAGUAAUCGCAGAUCAGA